rnacentral:rRNA from 1 species
GACAGAGGGUGCAAACGUUGUUCGGAAUUACUGGGCGUAAAGGGUCUGUAGGUGGCCAACUAAGUCAGACGUGAAAUCCCUCAGCUUAACUGGGGAACUGCGUCUGAUACUGGAUGGCUUGAGUGUGGGAGAGGAAUGCGGAAUUCCAGGUGUAGCGGUGAAAUGCGUAGAUAUCUGGAGGAACACCGGUGGCGAAGGCGGCAUUCUGGACCAUAACUGACACUGAGAGACGAAAGCCAGGGGAGCAAACGGG